GAUCAUGGCUCAGGAUGAACGCUGGCGGCGUGCCUAACACAUGCAAGUCGAACGAAGCACCUUACUUGAUUCUUCGGAUGAAGGUCUGGUGACUGAGUGGCGGACGGGUGAGUAACGCGUGGGUAACCUGCCCUGUACAGGGGGAUAACGGCUGGAAACGGCUGCUAAUACCGCAUAAGCGCACGAGGAGACAUCUCCUUGUGUGAAAAACUCCGGUGGUACAGGAUGGGCCCGCGU
rnacentral:rRNA from 1 species